CCUACGGGUGGCAGCAGUAGGGAAUUUUCCGCAAUGGACGCAACUCUGACGGAGCAACGCCGCGUGAGUGAAGAAGGUUUUCGGAUCGUAAAACUCUGUUGUUAGAGAAGAACAAGUGCUAGAGUAACUGUUAGCGCCUUGACGGUAUCUAACCAGAAAGCCACGGCUAACUACGUGCCAGCAGCCGCGGUAAUACGUAGGUGGCAAGCGUUGUCCGGAUUUAUUGGGCGUAAAGCGAGCGCAGGCGGUACCUUAAGUCUGAUGUGAAAGCCCCCGGCUCAACCGGGGAGGGUCAUUGGAAACUGGGGAACUGGAGUGCAGGAGAGGAGAGUGGAAUUCCAGGUGUAGCGGUGAAAUGCGUAGAUAUAUGGAGGAACACCAGUGGCGAAGGCGACUCUCUGGACUGUAACUGACGCUGAGGCUCGAAAGCGUGGGGAGCAAACAGGAUUAGAUACCCCAGUAGUC
rnacentral:rRNA from 1 species